rnacentral:rRNA from 1 species
UACGUAGGUGGCAAGCGUUGUCCGGAUUUACUGGGCGUAAAGCGUGUGCAGGCGGACCUUUAAGUAGAAAGUGAAAGGUUGGAGCUCAACUCCAACACUGCUUCCUAUACUGGAGUCUUGAGUGCCGGAGAGGAAGAUGGAACUACACGUGUAGCGGUGAAAUGCGUUGAUAUCAGGAGGAACACCGAUGGCGAAGGCAGGUCUCUGGGCCGAUACUGACGCUGAGGAGCGAAAGCGUGGGGAGCGAACAGG